rnacentral:rRNA from 1 species
GAUGAACGCUGGCGGCGUGCCUAAUACAUGCAAGUCGAGCGAACAGGCGAUGAUCUUGCGCCUUUGACGUUAGCGGCAGGCGUGUGAGUAACACGUGUAUAACCUACCUAUAUUACUGAUAUAACUUCGGAAAAGCGGAUCUUAUACCAGAUAAGCUAUUGCACCGCAGUGGUCGUUGGUAAAAGACGGUUUUGCUGUCACUUAUAGAUGGAUCCGCGCUGCAUUAGAUAGUUGUUAAGGUAACGGCCUACCAAGGCGACGAUGCGUAUACGAACUGAGAGGGGGAUCGGCGACACUGGAACUGAGACAGCGACAAGACGACUGAGGGAGGCAGCAGUAGGCAAUAUUACGCAAUGGGCGAAAGCCUGACGGAGCAACGGGGAGUGAGUGAUGAAGGCCUUCGGAUCGUAAAGAUCUGUUAUGAGGGAAGAACCACUGUGUAAGGAAACAUGGAGGUAUUGACGGUACUUAAUAAAAAAGCACCGGCUAACUACGUG